CUGGGUCACAGUCGUUUCACAUGUAUUUUUACAAAUUAUUUUACAAAUGUCUGCCUUUGUUUUACGUUUUUAACUAAGGCUUUGUAAACGUUCGAAGACUUCUUGAACUAUUUCCUCGAAUUGCCAUUUCUGUGUAACAACUUCGUUGUCCAAUUGAAUUCUUUCGAUACUGCUUACAACAGCAGGCACAUAUUGUCAACAAAUUCUUG
rnacentral:lncRNA from 1 species